GGCAGCAGUGGGGAAUUUUGGACAAUGGGCGAAAGCCUGAUCCAGCCAUGCCGCGUGCAGGAUGAAGGCCUUCGGGUUGUAAACUGCUUUUGUACGGAACGAAAAGACUCUGGUUAAUACCUGGGGUCCAUGACGGUACCGUAAGAAUAAGCACCGGCUAACUACGUGCCAGCAGCCGCGGUAAUACGUAGGGUGCAAGCGUUAAUCGGAAUUA
rnacentral:rRNA from 1 species